UCUCUAUCCGCCCCUCUCUGUGGUCACCGUGGGCCCGCCCUCUUAGGCUGACCUAGUGCUCCUUGGACUCUUCCCGCAGCCGACUCCGGGGUACGGGGCGAGGAGGGUGGAAGCCGGCACAUGGCGGUCCCGGUGGCCGCGGCCGGGGCUGGCGCCAGGCCCAGGUUAGAUCUGCAAUUUCUCCAGCGGUUCCUGCAGAUACAGAAGGUUUUGUUUCCCUCCUGGUCAUCACAGAAUGCCUUGAUGUUCCUGACCCUGUUGUGUGUCGCCCUACUGAAACAACUGGUGAUCUACCAGGUUGGCUUGAUCCCCAGUCAGUACUAUGGGGUCCUGGGAAACAAAGACUUGGAUGGGUUUAAGACCCUGACAUUCCUGGCUGUGGUGCUCAUCGUUCUCAACUCCAUGCUGAAGAGCUUUGACCAGUUCACCUGCAACCUGCUGUAUGUGAGCUGGAGAAAGGACCUCACCGAGCACCUUCACCGCUUCUACUUCCAAGGCCGCGUGUACUACACCCUUAACGUGUUGCGGGAUGACGUCGAUAACCCGGACCAACGCAUCAGCCAGGAUGUGGAACGAUUCUGCCGACAGCUCAGCAGCAUGGCCAGCAAGCUGAUCAUCUCCCCCUUCACCCUCAUCUACUACACCUACCAGUGCUUCCAAAGCACGGGCUGGCUUGGGCCUGCGAGCAUCUUCGGGUAUUUCAUCCUGGGAACCCUUGUGAACAAAAUGUUGAUGGGGCCCAUUGUGGCAAAGCUGGUGCAGCAGGAGAAGCUGGAGGGGGAUUUCAGGUUCAAGCACAUGCAGAUCCGGGUGAAUGCUGAGCCUGCUGCUUUUUUCAGAGCUGGGCACGUGGAGCAUGUGAGGACAGACCGCAGGCUGCAGAGACUCCUUCAGACCCAGAGGGAGCUGAUGUCCAAGGAGCUCUGGCUGUACCUCGGUGUCAACACAUUCGACUAUCUGGGCAGCAUCCUGAGUUAUGUUGUGAUCGCCAUCCCUAUUUUCAGUGGUGUCUAUGGAGACCUGAGCCCCACAGAGCUCAGCACUCUGGUCAGCAAGAAUGCCUUUGUGUGCAUUUACCUCAUCAGCUGCUUCACCGGCCUCAUCGACCUCUCCGGCACGUUCUCAGAUGUGGCUGGUUACACACACAGAAUCGGGGAACUUCAGGAGACCCUGCUGGACAUGUCCCUGAAGUCGCGGGGUGGCGAGGUCCUGGACGAGAGCGAGUGGGACGUGGACAGGGCCCCAGAGUGGCCGGUCGCAGAGCCAACAGACACAGCUUUUCUCCUUGAGCGGGUCUCCAUCUGUGCCCCCUCCUCUAAUAAACCCUUAAUCAGGGAUCUGAGCCUGAGGAUCUCUGAGGGGCAGAGCCUGCUCAUCACAGGCAACACGGGCACGGGCAAGACGUCAUUGCUCCGGGUUCUCGGCGGCCUCUGGGCAAGCACACGGGGCUCAGUGCAGAUGCUGACAGACUUUGGACCCCAUGGGGUGCUGUUCCUGCCACAAAAGCCAUUCUUCACGGAUGGGACCCUUCGGGAGCAGGUCAGCCUGGGGCCCGCACCUACCUCUGGCUACCGGAGACCUCUGGCAGUCUGACAGGUUUCAGCUCUAGAAAGUUAUGGGGCAGAAGGUGGGGUAGUAAAUGGCUCCUGCCCAGGAACUCCCUGGUUCUACGAACAUUUUACUCACUUCCGUGGAUUGGGCCAUGUAGUUAGAGCAGCUCCUGGGGGCAGGUUAACCUGUGGGGGCCGAAACCAAAUACCACAUAUAUUUGUUGGCCGCCAAGGUUGGAUUCUGGACGCUGUGUCCUUAGGAGGCUCACAGACUCUUUCCCCUCAGACACACAUCUGACGUUUGCAGUGACCCUGUCCCACUGUCUGCUGUCCCCGGCUCUCCCACUGGACCCUUGGCCGGGCUGGUCCUUACCAUCCUCAGGUGGAGAGGAGCCUGGCCUCUGGCAGUUCCUGGGACUGUAUCCUCCUGGGGAGGAUAGGCUUUGUGCAGCACUGCCUCUCAUUGGCCCUCAUCUUGGGCCUGUGUGGUUUUGUUUUAUCAGGUGAUAUAUCCCCUGAAGGAAAUCUACCCGGACUCAGGUGAGCUGGGCCUCCUUGGGGCAUGUCCUCCCAUCUAAAUUGCCCCUGCUCUGCCUGAUUAGGGCCUCGCCAGUGCCUUUUGGCAGAGGUUCCAGCAAGGCUGCUGGUUUGAGGGAGUUUUCUUCUCCUUCAAGUGUUUACUAUUUUGGGGUCUGUACCCUGACCUCGUCUUGUUCUGUCUUCCCCUCCUUGAGGAGAGACCCCCAUUGGAGGAAGGGAAGGGACUGCUUCCUUCGCCUGGCCCUUCCUUUGUGUAUUAAGUGCUGUAACCCUGUCACUGCAGAGCUUUAGCCCAGAUUCUGGCACCCCCCCAGCCCUACCCCCUUCCACGAUGUACCCCCUCUCUUCUGGCUGCCCAGAGGAACGGACUUCUUGAAGAAGGCUUGUCUGUUUUGCAGGUUCUACUGAUGAUGAGAGGAUCAUGAGGUUCCUGGAGCUGGCAGGCCUGUCCAGUUUGGUGACCAGGACAGAGGGUCUGGACCAGCAAGUUGAUUGGAACUGGAGAGAUGCAGAGGCUCUCCUUUGCCCGG